rnacentral:rRNA from 1 species
UAUCUCUGUAGAGUCUGCAUAUCAAUAAGCGGAGGAAAAGAAACUAACAAGGAUUCCCUUAGUAACGGCGAGUGAAGCGGGAAGAGCUCAAAUUUGAAAUCUUCAAGGUUCUACCUUGACGAAUUGUAGUUUAAAGAAGUGUUUUCUGUUGGUGUUUUGGUAAAAGUUCUUUGGAAUAGGACAUCAUAGAGGGUGAGAAUCCCGUAUUUGACCAUUACUUCCAGCGUUGUGAUACACUUUCAAAGAGUCGGAUUGUUUGGGAAUGCAGUCCAAAAUGGGUGGUAAAUUUCAUCUAAAGCUAAAUAUUGGCGAGAGACCGAUAGCGAACAAGUACCGUGAGGGAAAGAUGAAAAGAACUUUGAAAAGAGAGUUAAACAGUACGUGAAAUUGUCAAAAGGGAAGCGUUUGACACCAGUGUUGUUUUCUCGAAAAUCAAUUAAAAAAGGCAGGAUUUUGUGUUGUAUUGACUUUAUCAGCUUUCUGCACUCUUUUCUUGUCUUUUUUUAAUGCACUUUUCGUUUAACAAGUCAACAUCAAUUUCUUUUGUUGUAAAAGAGUCAUUGGAAGGUGGCUUUCACUUCAGUGAAAGUGUUUAUAGCCUUUGGCUUCUGCAAUCGGAGAGAUUGAGGUCUGCAGCGUAGAUCCUUCGGGACUAGAUACAGUUAGAUGCUAAGUUAUAGCCUUUUCAUAGACAACUUGUUGACUAUAAUCAUCAUGUAGCUUACUCGCUUAUGGCUAUUUUACCUACGCUUAGGAUGUUGAUAGUCACAGCGUGUA